rnacentral:lncRNA from 15 species
AUGAUCACUAUAAUACCAGUCCAGUUCAUGCUCAGGCAUCAACACCUUCUCCUUCUUUCUUUCUUUCUUUCUUUCUUUCUUUCUUUAAGCGUUCACUGCGUGAGCUUGUGGAGUCCGGUCGCUAUGACACUCGCUCAGACUUCACUGUGGUCGUCCAGCCUUUCUUCAGAGACCUCAUCUUCCCCAGACUGCCGGUCAGUAACGUGGACUACACCGACUUUCAGUCAACUCACCGCAGGAUGGCCGUGCUGAUCGCUCUUUCUUCAGUGCUGAUUGCUUCCAUCUCAGCCAGAAGGCCCAGACGCUGAUGGCUCGCUCCCUCUGGAACAACAUGGUAAGUAUCUGACAGACAAAGUAAAAGAUUGUGUCAUGUUUUGUGGAUGCAUUUAACUUGAUGUGUGGAUAUUGGUCUGCAUGGUGACAAUAUUAAUGU